UACGUAGGUGGCGAGCGUUGUCCGGAUUUACUGGGUGUAAAGGGAGCGUAGACGGUGGUGUAAGUCAGAUGUGAAAGCCCGGGGCUCAACUCCGGGACUGCAUUUGAAACUAUGUCACUGGAGUGCAGGAGAGGUAAGUGGAAUUCCUAGUGUAGCGGUGAAAUGCGUAGAUAUUAGGAGGAACACCAGUGGCGAAGGCGGCUUACUGGACUGUAACUGACGUUGAGGCUCGAAAGCGUGGGGAGCAAAC
rnacentral:rRNA from 1 species